AAGGUUGGCUAAUCCUGGUCGGACAUCAGGAGGUUAGUGCAAUGGCAUAAGCCAGCUUGACUGCGAGCGUGACGGCGCGAGCAGGUGCGAAAGCAGGUCAUAGUGAUCCGGUGGUUCUGAAUGGAAGGGCCAUCGCUCAACGGAUAAAAGGUACUCCGGGGAUAACAGGCUGAUACCGCCCAAGAGUUCAUAUCGACGGCGGUGUUUGGCACCUCGAUGUCGGCUCAUCACAUCCUGGGGCUGAAGUAGGUCCCAAGGGUAUGGCUGUUCGCCAUUUAAAGUGGUACGCGAGCUGGGUUUAGAACGUCGUGAGACAGUUCGGUCCCUAUCUGCCGUGGGCGCUGGAGAACUGAGGGGGGCUGCUCCUAGUACGAGAGGACCGGAGUGGACGCAUCACUGGUGUUCGGGUUGUCAUGCCAAUGGCACUGCCCGGUAGCUAAAUGCAGAAGAGAUAAGUGCUGAAAGCAUCUAAGCACGAAACUUGCCCCGAGAUGAGUUCUCCCUGAGACUUAGAGUCUCCUGAAGGAACGUUGAAGACGACGACGUUGAUAGGCCGGGUGUGUAAGCGCAGCGAUGCGUUGAGCUAACCGGUACUAAUGAACCGUGAGGCUUAACCUUACAACGCCGAAG
rnacentral:rRNA from 1 species